CAGGAGUCUAGCGGAGCAGAUCGGAGCUGUGGCUUUCAGUGAUGGGGUGUCACAGAAGCAGAAAGAAGCAGACGGAAAUGCCGAGAGCUGUAGCGUGGGGACUGCAGGAACGGAGACGGGAUGGGAGAGCCACCAGCAUGUUCCAGAGAAUUCCAGCGUCGGAGAGGGGAACCCGAGCAAUGGAAGAGGUCCAAGAGGGCCGUCAAGAGGUCGUCUGCCUGCGUGUGUCUCAGAGAGGACGCCCACAUCUUGUCCGGAGAACUCUAUAGUCCUCCCUUCCCCACCACAAAAAGAGCGGUUCAACAAGUAAAGAGAAAUGGUUUUUAGGUACAUA